AGUGUUUCUUGGCUGCCCUGCUCUUCAACUUCAAUUAUCCUUGAAAAGGGCGACCGUUGGCUUUUAAAAGGGUAAAAGGGAUAUUUUUCAAGGCCGUUUUCUUAUUACGGGGGUAAAAGGAUGCAAAAAGGGCCGUUGAACUUUGGACCCCUAUUUUACCCUCCGACACCCCUCGACAUCCCGGGAGCAGGGGGUAGUUUCGGGCAAGUUCAAAUUUUUAGAGAGGGGGAAUUAGACAGAUAUGAGCUCCUCACUCAAUGAAAGGAUAUUUUUAUUUUUUGGUGGAAAUAAAAAGAUAAAAUUUGUAAUUCUGUUCGAUAGAAAGCGUUACGGCGAUUUAUAGAAGAUGCUGAAGAAGCAAAACACCUCAAUCACAGAUACUUCAUUUUAUGCCUGUGAAAUAAAAAACAGAUGUUAUCAACAGAUGUAAAAAUGAAUACAAGCUUGCAAAGAAUAAAGAGAAAUGCUCUCUCAUUA